GGUCUAUCGGUUUUCAUGGUUAAAUAAAUUCAGUGUCAAUUGUUACCUCACAGCUGUAGAGUUACAGGUUCAUUGAAUCGUUUCCCCGACCUCAGUACCGCUGCAACGUAGAUUUGGGGAAUCCAGCGCGGACUGUCGACCCCAUUGGAGUUGAACCGUCAUGUUUGCCCGCUGUAGCAUUUCCCCCGUCUGUGUGAUUUGUAAGGUUCAAAUGACUCAGACUGUUAGCUGACGAGCCGCCUUACCAGAAGGAAACCACCCGAUCGUCGUCACUGGCUGCAGUGUCCGCCAGAGAGCUGCUCCUGAGAGCUGCUGCGUCCGCCAGAGAGCUGCUCCUGAGAGCUGCUGUGUCUGCGAGAGAGCUGCUCCUGAGAGCGGAGUCCCGCGAUUGCGCCUCUCCUGGUUCUGCGGAGGUGGCGCUCCUUCUGGUACGUACAGUCCAGGCGCUGAUCAACCUACAGAACGAGGCGGAGCGCUCGUCGCUGCAGAUGGCGCCACCGGGGCUGGCGAGCGACCUCCAGCCGCCCUCCGUGGAGCUCACCGCUGGCACAGGUGGCAGCACCGUCAACUUAUUGCCGGCGCCAAAACGACCCAGAUCGGCGGAUGUCACCGCCCGCGGCCAUCAGAGGUCAUCGCCGGGGUCAAUCGGCUCGGCGGGCCGGUCUAGCUGCCAGGGGCCGACUGCCGCCGGCGCCGCCCCGUCCGCCACCCGGCGAGGCAGCACUCAUCAAUCAAAUCCGGCCCGAGCCCCCCUCCCCCCUUCCCCAGCCACGUGGCUGGUCGACUUUCAUCUGAAUGCCCCCUCACUCUUACGAAAAACACUUUGGUGCUUAUGUUUUUUUUUUAUCUGUGAAUAUCUCAAUAAAAUACCAAGUACGG